rnacentral:lncRNA from 1 species
CUCUUAUCGGUUCACUCUCUCGCUCCCUCUGCUGACAGAAAGAUCAGAGGUGUGGAUGGGAGCCCGGGACGAGAGCGGGCGAUGGCGGGGGCAGGAGGAGUGUGAAGGACUGAUAGUCACUUGGACUUCUUUGUACAAUCACCUUUGGUAAAUGGUUAAGUCUCAUUCUCUCCCUCUCUCCCGUGGGAUGGUAGAACCUAAGACGCGGAUUUUCAAGAGCAGCGGUUUUCGAUUGUUGGAAAAUCCGCGUGGACGAGUUGGGGAACCCGAUUUCACGAUGCCGUUGGAAGAUGCAGGUUUCGUUGAAUUUUGAUGUUUGUCUUUGUUUUCUUUUUCGUAUUGGUUAAUGUUUUCCAAAAGUUAUUCGGUUGCUUCGUUAUUUCGUUGUUUCUGUAAUGGUGAUAGUAGUAAUGAUCAUUAUCGCAUAUAUUCUUUUCCUCCACAACACCAUCGCCAGCACCACCCUCAUGAUUAUUAAUAUUGUUGUUAUUAUUGCUAUUGCGUUAUUACAGCAAGUAUCAUCUACUACUGAUAAUAUUGCUACAAGUAGUAUAAACAUUUCCAUUGGGUGUAAAACUUAGUUUAGCCUUGAUAAAUAUGCUCAAUCAGUAUUCACAUUCUAGUCUACUAAAUAUUAAAAUGCAAAUGACCAAUUAUAAUCAUGAUUAGGCAUCUUUCUAGAAGUACUUAUAUUCAUGCUAUUAUUAUUAUUAUUUAACUACUACUAUUACUAUCAUUAUUAUUAUUAAUAUUAAUCUUAUUAUUAUUAUAAUUAUUAUGGCAUCAAUUUAAUUAUUUAUUGUAUCCGUCGAUUUCCUCAAAAGACUUCAUAUUUGUCAGGUCAAUUACUGAUCAAUAUUUAUUUAUUUAUUUACGCGACCAAACGUAAUCAGUUUGAUAUCCAAAGAUUUACAUUUACUUCAAUAACAUGUCUUUGUUUUGUUUAACCUGUUCCUCUAAUAAUUUUGUUUGCCUUGUUGCAUAUAUUUUCAAUGCCCAAUAUUGUUCUUGAUUAUGAUGCGGUAAGCAAGCUCGUUUUGUUAUCAUAGUAAUCAUUUUCGUUACUAUGGUUACCGUUAAGAAUAUUUUAAAAACUCAACUUCCUAACCAUGAAUGUCAUCGUUAUGGAUCUCGACUCCAUAAACUCAUCGUGUAAAAAGUAUCGUCCAACUUAAUUAUAAUUAUUUUCAUUAACAAAAGAUAUUUCAUUUUAGUACCAUUUUAGUGUGAUUUCUACCAACAUCCAAAUAUUUACAUUUACUUCUAUAACUUGUCUUUGUUUUGUUUAACCUCAUCGUAAUAUAUGAGUUCUUACAAUGAUUGUGUUUGCUUUGUUGCAAGACAUUUUUUCAAUGUCCAUUAUUGCUCUUGAUUAUGAUGCGGUAAGCAAGCUCGUUUUGUUAUCAUAGUAAUCGUUUUCGUUUCUACGGUUACCUUUAAAAAUAUUUAAAAACUUUAAAAACUUCCUAACCAUGAAUGUCAUCGUUAUGGAUCUCGACUGCAAGAAAUUCAUCAUGUAGGAAUUAUCGUCCAACUUAAUUAUAAUUAUUUUCAUUUUUGUUAUAGUAAUCAUUUUCGUUUCUACGGUUGAGAAUAUUUUAAAACUAAAAACUUCCUAACCAUGAAUGUCACCGUUAUGGAUCUCGACUGUUACAUAUUCUUCAUGUAGGAAUUAUCGUCCAACUUAAUUAUAGUUAUUCCCAUUAACAAAAGAUCUUACUUUCAUUUUAAUGUGAUUUCUACCCAUAUGAUGUACUUACUGUUGUUCCGCUCUUGGUGAUGGUGCAGUAAGCAAGUUUUUUUUUAUCAUAGUAAUCAUUUUUGUUACUACGGUAACCGUUAAGAACAUUUUAAAAACUCAACUUCCUAACCAUGAAUGUCAUCGUUAUGGAUCUCGACUACUUUGAAUUCUUUGUGUAAGAAAGAUCGUCCAACUCAACUAUUAUUAUUUUCAUUAACAAAAUAUAUUACUUUCAUUUUAGUACCAUUUUAAUAUGGUUUCUGCCCAUAUGAUGUACUUACUGUUGUUCCGUAUUUCAAGUAUUGUUUUUCAUUAUCAUGUUUAACUUACGGUUUCUUUUAUGCUUGAUAUCACUAUGGUAAUUAGAUUAAUCGACGUGAAGUCAAAAUUACUGUAUUAAAAUUAAAGGGUAUAAUUGUUUUCUUUGUUUUUACCGUCUUCGCAAUGGUUAAUUUCGUUAUUGUGAACCUCAGCUAUUAUAACUUCCUCUUCUAUUUUUAGAUAGAUUACUGUUUGCGCCUCGAAAAAACUGAUACAGUUUUUUAUAUUUCCUGUUUUAAAAGUUUGUUUUCGUAACGACAAACGUAACUGAAACCCACCUCGUUCAUGAGGUAUCAUUAAGCAAAAUUAUAUUUGAGAAAAGAAGUGUUGGCAGAGGAUCAUGUCUUCUUCCCUUCAUGUGAUCAACUUCAUUAUCAGUUCACACAAAACAUAAGCACAAGUGAUCGAAAAAAAAUCAGUGAUCUUCUCAUAGUUUCCUUCUAGAUGCGAAUAGUCAAACUUUCAAAAUGAUAAUGUGAAUUUUUUUUCUGAAAAUGUUAUAGACCGUUGAUGUGUGCAGAUUUCAAUCAAAAUAAUAAGAAAAUAAUAAGAAAGACAUGAGGAAGGCAAUAUUUUUUCAAACAAAUGUAACAACUGAUCUUGUUUAGCUUGAACAUAUAUAGUGAUAGGAAAUUGCAAGCAAGCUGACAUCGCUUGGGAAACACCUUCAAGAAUAAGUCAAGCUUGUCAUGACGCAACAAAUGACAUUCAUUGAUAAACCUUUUACCAGGAUUCACAAACGACGCUUGUCUUUUUCAAUGCGCGUUUUUCAUAUUGCUAAGAAAAUACAUUAAAGCUGCAGCGGCCGGAAGUCAUUAUUGCUGUGCUUGUGACGCCGUUCUGCUGAGCCUCCUCUGCUGCACCUCCACGGCCUCUGCCCUUUAGUUGCCUCAAGGGAAAGCGUUCGCUCCAGCGGCAAUUUCGAGGAUUAUAAACUUUCAAGCUCCGGGAUAGUUUUUCGGGAAAAAGAAGAAAAAAAAAUCGUAGCACUGAACGCGUGUGUGUAUAAACACGUGUGUCUUCAUAAGUAUCAUUAUGGUAGUAAAAAUCGCACUAAUCUCUGAUUAAUUUAUCUUCAGCCGUCAUUCAUAAUUAUUUUUGUUCGCAUUUUUAACUAAAUCCGCUAUUAUGAAAUGUAACGUCUCAUUUACAGGAUAUUGCUCCUAUUUUACUGUGCAUUCCGAAUUUCUUGAAUUGGAAUUCCUUCGCAUCAAUAUUUGUUCUCUUGUUAUGCUCACUUAUCAGUCCGUUGGAUAUAUGUGAAAUUAGGCAGAUUGUUAUUAUUACCCUAUGGCCGGUGUUAUCAAUGUGAAAAAUCCUUACAUAUGCUUUCUUAACAGUUGGCUUCACUGUUACGGAAGCAGCGCAUAACGGGGAAAAAAUUCACUGUCGUGUUUAUUGCUCGGCGACUGAAUCUGCUCUAAGGAUCCCGUGCCAGUGACAAAUAUUACUGUCUGUCUUGGAAUUAGGAAGUUCUGUAAUUAUAUAUGAUAAUUGUUUUUAAACUACCGUUGUUAUUAUUGUUGUUGUUUUGUUGUCAUUAUUAAUUCAUAGGUGUUUUCAUAUACACCGUUAUGAAACAACGCUGGGUCGUCUCCCCCCGAAGCAGGACUUAUUUAGUUCUCAAGAACCUCGCACUAAUGAUAAAUAUAUCAAUCUGCUUUAGAAUUAAGUUUGGAAAUCAUAUCUGAUAAUCAUUUUUAAAUUACCACUACAACUAUUAUAAUGGUAAAUAUUGUUAUCAUUAUCAAUUGCUGUGUUCUUUAAUAUAUAUAUUUUUUUUCAUGAAACAACACUCAGGAUCCUCCUAGCAAGGAUAACUAUUGUUAUCCAUUUUAAUUAAGAUAUUUAACACAUAUUGUAAUCUUGCUUAUCAAUAUUUAAAAAAAAAUCAUAAUACAUAUUUUUAAUUGUUACAUUUAUAGCAUGCACACAAUAUUACUAUAAUAGCAUUCGCAACGUGAUCGUGUUUAUUCCUUGAAGACUUAGUCUGCUCUAAGGAUCUCGUGCCAGUGACAAAUAUUAUUAUCUGUUCUGGAAUUGGGAAGUUUUUGUAAUUAUAUGCGAUAAUCAUUUUUAAACAACCAUUAUUAUCAUUGUUAUUAUUAAUUCAUAGGUGUUUUCAUAUACACCUCUAUGAAACAACGCUGGGUCGUCGCCCCCCGAAGCAGGACUAAUUUUGUUCUCUAGAACCUCGUAGCAAAGAUAAAUAUUAUUAUCUGUUUUAGAAUUAGCAAGUUUUGUAAUUAUAUUUGAUAAUCAUUUUUAAACUCCUGCUACAACCAUUAUAUAUAUAUGAUUAUAACUAUUGUUAUCAUUAUGAAUCCCUAAGUGUUUUUAAAUAAUUUUCUUUUAUGAAACAACACUGGGUAGCCUCCCCUCGUUCUCAAGAUCCCCUUAGCAAUAAUUAACUAUUGUUAUAUGUUUUAAUUAAAACAUUAACACAUACUGUCUUAUUACCUGUUAAUAUUUUUAGAAAUCACAGUAUAUAUAUCUUAUUGUUGCAUGCAUAGUAUGCACACAAUAUUGGGACUAUCAUUAAUAUUAUAAUUGGUCAUUGUAUUAUCGUUAUUACUACUGCAUCAACUUUUCCACCUUUGAGUGAAAUUACUCCUUGUUUUGUAUUUGAAACUGUUUCAGCUUUCAAUAGCAUUAAAGAAUCAUGAGUAUAUUAGUUCAUAUUAGUUCACCUUUAUAAUACAGUUUCUUGUUAUGAUAUUGCAACUGCCCGUUUUACGAUUAUUGUAAAAGAUCUUUUGGAUGAUCUGUGGAUUAAUAUUCUUUUUUAAUAUCCCUUUUCAUCAUAUUAGGUUUACGUGAAAAAAUCAGUUAUUCUCGUUUCAUAGAUAUUAUCAGUAUGAAAAUUUUCUUCAUUAAUAUCUUUGUGACAGUUACCUUCACUGUUAUGAAAGUAAAAUUGUGAUUUUUUUUUUUUUACCUGUCUGGACCAUUAAUAUGAUUUAUUAUGUUCAAUCCUAGGACCCUAAUUCUGUUCACAAAAGUCUCAUGAACAUGAUGCUGGUGUCUGGUUUUAGUAUAACGGUAUUGAAAUCCAAAUAGAUUACAUUCCUCAUGCAAAAAGUAUCAAUAAUCUUAAUCAUCAGAUAUGCAUUUAUUACUAUCAUUCCUUGUUAUGAAACAACAAUACACUAAUGUUUAGGGACUGUCAUAUUACUUUGUGAUAACUAUAAUUCUCUCCACCCUUUAAGUAUUUGAGUGUCGGUCGACCAGGUAUCUUGAGAUUUAUAAACAUUGUAGGAAUGAAAUGUCGCAUAAAUGAUGACAUACUGGGAUUAUAUGUAUAUUUUUUCAAUACAUGUUUUACAUAUUUUUGAUUUUUACCUGUUUGUAGCGUUAACUGAACGAGUUAGAAACACACUGAGGAUAAUGAUGAUAUUUUUGUUGUUUUAGGAAGGGGACAUUUCUUUGUAAUGAUGAAUGUUUUUUUUUUCAUCAAGUUUAAAUCUAUGCAAUAUGUGAAACGUGAUUUCCUAUAUUAUUUGUUAUUAAGUAUGAUAUGUUUCUCAUUAUAAGAACUGCCGAAAAUGAAAUAUAUGAUGACAUGUUUCUUAUAAUUUGUUGUAUUCUGUGUUUCACAUCAAACCUAGGUGCUUCAAAACCGAAGAGUAAUUUUCUUAAUAAGAUUAUUAAAUUCACCAUCAUGAAUGUAUGUAAGAAGUCAGAGGAGGACAUUGUGAUGGACAAGUAUCUUUUGUUGUUAUUAUCAUCAUUAUUAUUAUUAUUAUUAUCAUCAUCAUCAUAUAUAUAUAUUAUUAUAUAUAUCAUUAUAUAUAUUUGUAUAAAUUGAAUAACUUAACUGCUUUGUCUUUGCAAGAUGUAAUCCUUGUAUUAUAAUAUCUUCUUGCAAUAAUUAAUCUUUACAAUUCAACAAUUAUGAUGUACCAUAUAUGUAUGAAUAUUUUUGCUGUUACCUUUUUGUAUUAUUUCUCUUAAUUCUGAAGUACAUAUAUACACUGUAUAUAUACACAUACACAUAUGUAUGUGUGUAUGUGUGUGUGUGUGUGUGUAUGUAUGUAUGUAUUUAUAUCAUAUUCCACUGUAGUUUUAGAGACCUCAAUGUCUAAAUGUGACUAUCUCAAAGAUGAAUGUGAAAUCAAAGUGUGAAUUCAGUCUCCAAGUAUGACUCCAAUCUACAAGGUGUCAGAGGGCGUGCAGUGUGACUUCAUUCUACAGACACAAGGCAGGCCAUCAGGAGAGACUUCAGUUUCAUGCAGGAGCAUUCCAGAAUCCGUCUUGGAAUGCCACACUCCCAACACGAAUUCAAAGUAGGAGAGGAGAUUGGGCUUCGGACAUCACAUCGGGAUUUUAGCGUCCAUUUGGCCCUGAAAAUGUACCCGAAUGUCAGCCGGGCUUCAGUCAACAUUUCAACCCAUUAAGCUUGAAGUCGGAGAAAGUCUGAAGCGUCCUACUCCAGCCUAUGAAGCCACAUUUCAGGUUUACACCCUUUUGCCUGGAAUCGUAGUUACCCUGAAGUCUGAAAUCCUGCAUCCCUUCUGGUCCCUAACGCCUCCACAAAGCCACCCUCGAGGAAGCCCGUCAUCCCAGGGUGGUUGUAGUACGUCACUCCUUCACUCGAACUGAAAUGUCAUACUUAAGCCUGAGACGUCACACUUAAAGAGGUCGGAGUCACACUGAUACAGGCCGUAUCAGCCUGUCAAACUGCAUUCAUUGUUUCAGUCAGUUUUAUGCAUAUAUAUAUGUGUGUGUGUGUGUGUGUGUGUGUGUGUGUGUGUGUGUGUGUUUGUGUGUGUGUGUAUAUAUAUUGUGUAGGUGUAUGCUAUAUAAUGUAAAGAUAUUUUUCCCAAAUAUAUAUUUUUUCUCAUGGAAGCUUCUUGUUGUCUGAAAUGUACGUUUUCCUGAAUGUAUUUUUCAGUAUGUUAUCUAAGUUUCUGUAUUUCGAAUUAUUUUUUUUAUGUAAUAAAUCUUACGUUUUAGAAA